GUGAGCCAGUACAGGAUGGACCCGCGUCUGAUUAGCUAGUUGGUAAGGUAACGGCUUACCAAGGCGACGAUCAGUAGCCGACCUGAGAGGGUGAUCGGCCACAUUGGAACUGAGACACGGUCCAAACUCCUACGGGAGGCAGCAGUGGGGAAUAUUGCACAAUGGGCGAAAGCCGGAUGCAGCAACGCCGCGUGAGGGAUGAAGGCCUUCGGGUCGUAAAACGCUGUCCUCAAGGAAGAUAAUGACGGUACUUGAGGAGGAAGCCCCGGCUAACUACGUGCCAGCAGCCGCGGUAAUACGGAGGGGGCUAGCGUUAUCCGGAUU
rnacentral:rRNA from 1 species